rnacentral:rRNA from 1 species
UGCAGUCGACGGCAGCACGGGGGCAACCCUGGUGGCGAGUGGCGAACGGGUGAGUAAUAUAUCGGAACGUGCCCUGGAGUGGGGGAUAACGUAGCGAAAGUUACGCUAAUACCGCAUACGAUCUACGGAUGAAAGUGGGGGAUUCGCAAGAACCUCAUGCUCGUGGAGCGGCCGAUAUCUGAUUAGCUAGUUGGUGGGGUAAAAGCCUACCAAGGCGACGAUCAGUAGCUGGUCUGAGAGGACGACCAGCCACACUGGAACUGAGACACGGUCCAGACUCCUACGGGAGGCAGCAGUGGGGAAUUUUGGACAAUGGGCGCAAGCCUGAUCCAGCAAUGCCGCGUGAGUGAAGAAGGCCUUCGGGUUGUAAAGCUCUUUUGUCAGGGAAGAAACGGUGGGCUCUAAUACAGGCCACUAAUGACGGUACCUGAAGAAUAAGCACCGGCUAACUACGUGCCAGCAGCCGCGGUAAUACGUAGGGUGCAAGCGUUAAUCGGAAUUACUGGGCGUAAAGCGUGCGCAGGCGGUUUGGUAAGACAGAUGUGAAAUCCCCGGGCUCAACCUGGGAAUUGCAUUUGUGACUGCCCGGCUAGAGUGUGUCAGAGGGGGGUAGAAUUCCACGUGUAGCAGUGAAAUGCGUAGAGAUGUGGAGGAAUACCGAUGGCGAAGGCAGCCCCCUGGGAUGACACUGACGCUCAUGCACGAAAGCGUGGGGAGCAAACAGGAUUAGAUACCCUGGUAGUCCACGCCCUAAACGAUGUCUACUAGUUGUCGGGUCUUAAUUGACUUGGUAACGCAGCUAACGCGUGAAGUAGACCGCCUGGGGGAGUACGGUCGCAAGAUUAAAACUCAAAGGAAUUGACGGGGACCCGCACAAGCGGNGGNNGAUGUGGNUUAANUNNGAUGCAACGCNAAAAACCUUACCUACCCUUGACNUGGACAGAAUCCCGGANAGAUCUGGG